CGUUUACGGUUCCACCGCUGAAUGAAACCCAAAAGCCCAGAGGUCAGCACGGCAACGAGCAUUCACGUCCAGAUCUGGAAAGUAGACAAAGGGCCGAGUGGAGAGAGAUGUGUCUGAAUAUUAAACUCAUUUGUCUGAGAUAAAUUGGAUUUUUUUAAAGUCUUGAAAUGGGGAGAUUUAAUGGUUCUAGACAGAAAUAAAAAACAGAUUGAGUGGACUGAGAUUCUCGUCCCGCAUUAUAUGGAUGAACAGCGCCGCCUGGUGGCAGAAACAACAGCAAAUCCACUCAAUAAAAGAAAAAUUGCAUUUUGACCAAAAGGAAAUAUAUGGGCUUUAAGUGAUUGAGAUGCCAUAACAUGCAUUGUGAAUUUAGGCAUUUCCGUAGUUGAGCAUGGAGCUUUGAUUACAUUUAGGCACUCACAAGAGUAUAAUUAAUAAAAGAAUGGGGACGAUUACGGCAACUGAAGCCGAACAAAAAUAAAAAAACACUUUCCAUAAUGCAACUUUUUAAAUAUACCCCAAUCAAAGAAAAGGAUUGGAAAGCAAAUGAAUUUAACAAAACAGCCACAAGCAGAGAAAAGUACAUUUGCAAGAAAAGAAUGUUUAUUCCUUGUAAACCUCACAGAGCGAGAGCACAGCCAGAGUCAGACCUGGGGAGAAACAGAGCAGUGAAAACAAAAAAAACAACAAAACCCAUCUCGAUGCUCUCAACAAUCAGUUGAGGAGAAGACUGCCUAGACCGUAAGUUUCACAACAUCUUCUCAUCCCCAGGAACCAAUGACAGCAUUGUGAGCGAGAAAAAUAAAGCGUCUCCAUUUACAGUCUGUGAAAAUCACACGCAAAAACAAUGACCAUUUCGGAGAAUGUUGAAACCACGUCAAGACUUUAGCCAUUUUUCGUCCCUGCAGGAAAAUAACACCAGAAAACAGGAAACGCUGCUUUGGAAACAGCCGCUUUCCCGACAGUCGCAAAUACUGAAACAUUCACAAAAAGAAAUGUGACUUUUUCGUCCCUUACUUUUAACGACACAGUCUACUACAAACAGGUGACCGCUUUAUCUACCUGCCGAACACAAACUUUCAUGAAGUGAUGACCAAGUGGAUACUCGACAAACUCGUCACCCGAUGUUCUUGUGGUACAUUCUUGAACACUUUUCCAGAGAAAUGAGCUUUCCCAGUGUUGGCACACAAACUCAAGUGGAGGAUUAAAUUAUUAUUAUUUUUUUUAAGGAUCAAAAUUGGCAUUCCCGAAGCAUAGUUUACAUUUCAUAGUCCGUCUUUACAUUUUUCCCUUUCGGACAGCGUGUGUUUUCUACAGUGCAACUUUUAAUGGGGAGAUCAUAACAAAGCAGAGGCGGGUGUGUUGGGUGGGGGGGGCAAGCAGCCUGACCGAGGGAUUUGGGGUUCAACAGCCGUGGAGAUGAGCUUCUGUGGGUGGACAUGUAAACAGUAGACUCUGUGGUGGGCAAACAUCAGGUCACCAUACUGAACAGGUAAAUAGGAGAACAAUUAAUUAGGUGCCAUCUAUUGUUUGCGCCAAUGUGACUUACUGAAAGGAGCAAAGCUUCCCUUAAAUAAACACUGUGGCUCACCUUCACCACCAGUCUGGAGGUUAGGAAGGAACCCAAAAGCCCAAAUUGGCACACCUGAAGGCAACUUUGUCCCACGUCACUGGGCGGGGUCAAAUUCUCCUCCUCGGCAAGAUGUUUCACCAGUAGUUCAGGGUCGGGCCGUACCUCAUUACUCACUCGUCCUUAACUCAAGGCACUGAGAUCAUGGACACCGAUGAAAGACGAUGUCGAGCGCGGACAAGCACACACACGCACGCACAUUUCUUUUACCGAGCUCAAAAACUCACUUCAGGCCUGACUUUGGGAGCUGCAAGGGUUCAAAUCAUUUUAGGGCCUAUGUUUCUUAUAACAUAAUAUAUUAUCCAACGUGUUGCAUUAAACACUUCCAGCCUAUUAAAACAACACUUGAAUUUUAAAGAGCGAACAAAUGGAACCACGCAAUGCACCUACAAAUAAAUUAUUUACGUCCUGUUCCCCGAAGCAGCGGGGAGCAGGGUUCAUUUGGUGCCUUCAACGGUAAAUGACAACAGAACGGGGAGAGUGUGCCAACUUGCACUACAUUCCUCAGGUUGCACAGAUGCUGCCAGACUAUGUGGGGAGAGAACAAUCUAUCAAAGAGGUGGUGAAGUCAGGCCGUGCGUCUGUAUGAUUUAAAGGAGAACUUUUUCCAAAAGGUUUAGGAGGCGAGACUCAACCUAUAAAAAGGAAUGAAUCUAUUCCCCGGGAACAAAGGGCGGGUAACCGCGGUAACCGUGGCAGGCGGCUGCAUCGGUGGAGGGGAGAGGGAGAGCAAACACCCUUGAGAUGAAGAUACCCGGUUCUGUGAGGUUUCACUAGACACUUAAGAGAAGAAAAAAAAAAAAGAGCUGCGGCUUCCUAGUUGACAUGUGAUGUCCGUUGAAAGUUUUUUUUUUUUUGUCUUUUGUUUUACCUACAACAAAAACACGCCGAAAAAA
ensembl:lncRNA